rnacentral:other from 1 species
UAACCCCUGCUAUGUUCGUCAGGAUCGUUUGGAUUUGAAAGAACCGAUGCCCAUAUAUCGGGAGGUUUGGUCUUAGUGGAUCGGAUAAGCCUGCUUGAUAGGAUUUUCGGACACGAGCGAUUACCACCCACUUAACUGUGAUGGGUUCUUUUCAAACACUUUCCAACGGCAUGUGUGGAGGUUGA